rnacentral:lncRNA from 1 species
AAAAAUAAUGCUGAUACAUUUAAAGUACAUUUCGUCUGAACUUCUUCCAGUAUUGAAAACACAGAGUACAUCACAAAGUAGGUUUUGGCAUCAACUCAGUAACAAUAUUUUAUAAGACCAGAUUAAAUUAAACAGCUUCAGACAAAUAGAGAUAACCUGAAUUAAUGACAUAAGGUUAUGAGUAGACAAAUCAGUCAAAUAUUUCUGUUUUUAUUUGACUUAACUUAGGAGGUACUUUCUGGUUUUACCUUGGCACAAAUUAUAAAAUGGCCUCAUGUCCUAUUUACUUACUUGGAAUGUAUUUCUCACAGAAGACAUGCUGCUUCAGAAAACAGGUGUGUCAGCACAAUCCCUGGGAGGCAUUAAGUUUAAUGUGGUUUGCUUAAAGAAUCAGGUAAAAUAUGAACACCUUGUUCUGACACAGGGCUGA